rnacentral:rRNA from 1 species
AUUGAACGCUGGCGGCAGGCUUAACACAUGCAAGUCGAGCGGGGGGAGGUAGCUUGCUACCGGACCUAGCGGCGGACGGGUGAGUAAUGCUUAGGAAUCUGCCUAUUAGUGGGGGACAACAUCUCGAAAGGGAUGCUAAUACCGCAUACGUCCUACGGGAGAAAGCAGGGGAUCUUCGGACCUUGCGCUAAUAGAUGAGCCUAAGUCGGAUUAGCUAGUUGGGGGGGUAAGGGCCUACCAAGGCGACGAUCUGUAGCGGGUCUGAGAGGAUGGUCCGCCACACUGGGACUGAGACACGGCCCAGACUCCUACGGGAGGCAGCAGUGGGGAAUAUUGGACAAUGGGGGGAACCCUGAUCCAGCCAUGCCGCGUGUGUGAAGAAGGCCUUAUGGUUGUAAAGCACUUUAAGCGAGGAGGAGGCUACUUUAGUUAAUACCUAGAGAUAGUGGACGUUACUCGCAGAAUAAGCACCGGCUAACUCUGUGCCAGCCGCCGCAGUAA